GAUGAACGCUGGCGGCGUGCCUAAUACAUGCAAGUCGAGCGAACGGACGAGAAGCUUGCUUCUCUGAUGCUAGCGGCGGACGGGUGAGUAACACGUGGAUAACCUACCUAUAAGACUGGGAUAACUUCGGGAAACCGGCGCUAAUACCGGAUAAUAUUUUGAACCGCAUGGUUCAAAAGUGAAAGACGGUCUUGCUGUCACUUAUAGAUGGAUCCGCGCUGCAUUAGCUAGUUGGUAAGGUAACGGCUUACCAAGGCAACGAUGCAUAGCCGACCUGAGAGGGUGAUCGGCCACACUGGAACUGAGACACGGUCCAGACUCCUACGGGAGGCAGCAGUAGGGAAUCUUCCGCAAUGGGCGAAAGCCUGACGGAGCAACGCCGCGUGAGUGAUGAAGGUCUUCGGAUCGUAAAACUCUGUUAUUAGGGAAGAACAUAUGUGUAAGUAACUGUGCACAUCUUGACGGUACCUAAUCAGAAAGCCACGGCUAACUACGUG
rnacentral:rRNA from 1 species